UAUUGCUUUUAGGUACCUUUUACAGAUAAGAUUUAAUGGGACUUCUAGUUGAGUGUUGUGGAGUAAAUAGAAUAUGUUUUUGAAAAAUCUUUUUUCCUCAAUCUUUUAUAAUUAGCUUGCAGUUGAAUGGCUGGUCUCUUACUGCACCUAUAUCAGAAUUCGUGUGUCGUCUAUAAUGUAUCUCCUACUUGUCUGGAAAGUCACACUCUUAUCUAGUGUAAAAUUUCUCCUCAGGGAUUUAUAUCAGUAGGAAAGUCUAUAAACCAGUUUAAACCUCAUCUUUUUAAGCUAACAAACUGCACAAAGGCAAAACUUUAAAGUAUCUUAUAAACAUCACAGAUGUAUAAUGUAAAUGAGAUUUCAAGUGCGAUGCAACAUUCUCCAUAUGAUUCUAAACAUUUUAGUCUUUUUUUGACUGAAGUAAACAUUUUGGUCAUUACUCUGUUUGCCCUGGUCAGCAAGCCAAUCUACUCAAUACGCCUCCCUGAAUGUAUGCUGAACUUUGUUCUGCAUUAUUUCUUUAUCUUUUCCUUAAUUAUGUUAAUAACAGAUUGAUAUGCUGAGGUCCUUUUCAUACUCUAUUAGUAUAUAUUAACAAUACCAGUGAAUCUGAUUGCAUUACAACGUUUAUUGCUCCUGUAGAAGUUUCACCUAUAGAUUGAGCUCUUACCAUGCUUUAUCUACGGUUGGGUUCUUAUCUAAACAGGUCAUUGUUCUAAUAGCUAAAUGGCUUUAUAUCUCCAAUGCUGAAUUAUGUUCUAUUUUGAGAUUGUCAAGCCCAGUUGCAUUUUAUUAUUUGAAAAAUCUCUGCUGAUACCUUGGUUUUACCUAUUAUUUUUCUUAUUAUUAAUUCCCAACCCUUGAGGAUUUGAUAUUGUCAGUGUCAGUCCAAUUAUUCAACACCCGCUCUUUCUUUCUUAUUCUUUCAAACCUUCACCUCUGAAUUUUCAGUCAUUAAACCUACAGUUGGGGAAUAUCUUAUUGUCUGGUCUAUCCUCUUUCGCUUGCCUGCUCCUUAGGCAGUUCCAAGCUUCCUCUAUCACUAAUUUUGGUGGAGUCAAUGUAAUGUAGUAAUGUUUAGCAUUUAAUAUCUCAAAGUGAUAGGUAAGUUUGGAGAGGUGUUGUGGGGGGUAUGCCAUGAUCUUGGUUUACAGGUUAGGGAUAUGGCUAGCAAGGAAUGCUCUUCCUGGGGAAGCUUGCAAGACAUUUUAUGGUUGUCCGCUAGCUGGGUAGAGGAUGGGAAGAGUUGAUUGUUGGCACCAUUCUAGGUCCUCUAAUUUUAGUACAAAAACUAUUUCCCAUCCCCAAUUUCUUGAAGCUGUUUGUUAUAUGGAUGUGAUUGAUCUGAUUUGUGCUUCUUGAUGAUGUUAAUUUUGACAGAUUUUGUUAUCAAACUUCCAAUUACAUAUAACUGUUUGGCCUCAUGCUCUACUUAUAGAUAUUUUGGCAAUCUUUUUAUUUGCUAUCAUCAAUCUUUCUGACAUACUGAGUGUAAGUUGAAAUCAACAAAUCUUCAUGAAGUGAAGUUACCCUAAUCAGAAGGAUUUCUUUUCGAAAGGUCUGUCUAUAUUACUCACAUGUUUUAUGCCUUCUUUUUAUGGGAAUUGUUGGGGAAGCUCUUUCUGAGCAAACAGUGGUAAGCCAGCUCACAUUUCAUUGAUAAAUGAGAUGAGACAGGAACAGCAUGCAAGAGGGGAAUUGUUGGGAAAGCUUGAAAUUGAAGAGAUCUCCAUUCUAGAGAACAAAUUUAAUUGUUGAUGGGUGGUUAGUGAGUAAAUUAGGGAAACUAUCAGGAAUGUCUUGGUCUUGGUAACCUAGCGGGUCAAUCUAAACAUUCUCUGCAAUUAACUUUAGUUUUGUGGAGAAAACGCUUUGACUCAUGGAAUGGAAUAGUUUGAAUAUUAGAGUUUAAAAUGGAUAGUGAAGGGUGUGCCACACAAAUAAAAGAGAUUUCAUUUUUGAUGGUCUUUGGAAUGGUUCAAUUUAAAGAAGGGUGGAUAAUUUUGUAGACAUAUAGUUGAUGAGGAAUACAGGGUAGUAAAUUAAUUUGGAAUUUCAAACUUAGUAUAGGUCUUAUGCAUAAUAUUUGAAAUUUUUUAGUUGUACAUGAUCGUUCUGUCUACUUAUUGAAGUAGGCAGAUUUCGUCACAAAAACCUCUGGGUAUUUCUUGUAAGUGAUUCUGUUUAUUAGAUUAUUGGUCAUGAAUGGAUAUGUUAAGUUAUGGCACUCCAAUGGUUGUGGAAUGUUUUUGACUGUUGCUGUAGCUUGCAGGAAACUGAUGGCUAAUCAUAGGAGAUGCUGUCAUGGAAUUGAAACUUCAUAGUUCCAUUUACCUUGUGUAUAUGAGAAUUGAGAGUUUCCUAUCAUCUUCUCAAGUAUAUACUUAAAAGUAUUUCAAUGCUCAACAUUGUAGGAGCAUCUUUAUGAAAAUGGGACGACAAACCUAUGGAGAUCUGUCCAGUGAUGGACUUUAUGGUAGAUACAUAUGGAAAAGAGUUUGACCUUCAUGAAGACUAUUGGCGGAUUACCAUCCAGAAGGUUUUCAUUGACAACAUUUGCUGAGAUUAUUUUAACUCAACAAUUGCAAAAUGCCUCAUCCAUAAAUGUUAAAAAUUGAUGGAAUAAUUGGAAGCAUCUCCUUAGCCUAUCAUUCUUUAUAGUUACACUGGUUCUUAUGUUCCCACAUUUUGGAUGGUCAAGCUCAUUUCUGAUUGAAAGUCUCCAUUUGGGGUAUGGUCCUCCAUUGGAGGAGUAAUUGGAAAAUUCUGAGUUGGUAAUUUUUUUCUUGCUUUCUUGUCUCGUUGUCAACCAUGCUUCAGAUGAAGUGGAGGCUUGGUACAGUGUGAACUGAAUUUGAGUUGAUGACUAACUGGUACAAUUAUGUGCUCAUAGAAGUUUGAGAAAAACUCCAUUAGGUGGGUGUUUAGAAGGUGAUGCAUAUUAGUCACUCCAUUUUUUUUUGUUGACAGAAGUGAGAUCAAGUUAUGAGUGGAUGAUUUGACAUGUUGGCUGAAGUGCCAAGAAUUGCACAAGGAAAAAUUAAUAUAGAUAUAAAAGUGGCCAGAUCUUCUUUCCGUAUUGGGAAUAACUUGUUUCUAGAAACCUCUCUGCAUACUUAGAUCUUCUCUUUGUAGUAGAAGGUCAUCUUAUUCUAUUAGUUCUUUCUAGUCUGUUGUUGCUUUAUCUAUAAAAGUAAGUUUGCUUCAUUUCAGCUGAAAGACUACUAGAAAAAUAGUUCGAUUGUUUUGUCCCGUGUUCAUGCCUAGACACUAUUUUUUCAGUGGGUGUGAUCCAUGUCAGAGCAGAUAGGAUGGUUACUUGUGGGCAUUAUGAAUGGCUCAUUGAUUGCUUGCAUAAAAGUUCUGUUUGUGAUUCCAAACUCGAGCUUUGUCCUAAUACAGAUGCAGUCCGUUUGAAGAAUGAAGAUGACACACCAAGAAUAAAAAUAUGUGGGGCUCAUAAACACCAGAACAGGAUCUCUGGAAUGGACCCUCUAGAAUGGCAGGUGGAAUCCCUGAGCCACUGCACAUGUUGGGGUCUGCCACGGCAUUUGUGUUUGGGGCAUAUUCACCCUAGAGAGGUGGUACUUCCCUGCAUGGUUUAUAAAGGAAAAGGCUUAUAUGCAGUUGUUUCAAGGGAAUUCAAGCAUAGAAUGAUCUCUCUCGUAUGAUCCCCACCGUCAUCAACCCACAUCUCUGCCCGACUUAUGAUGGGAACAGGCCAUGUUUUUUGAUACUAAGGCUUAAUACACUUCGAGGAAGUUAUGGAGUUUUCUAGUGUCUGCUUCUUGUUGUGCCCACAUGUGACCUGUUUGUUUCAGGGUACAGCGGUGUCUGAACUGUCUUGCAAAGGGUUAUGCAUGAAUUGGAGAAGUUUUGAGAGCUUGCAAUUGGGUGGCCCCAUAACUUUACAAGUUUGAGUGGUACGCCCAUAACUAGCAAAAGGACAUUUCUCAUUUUUGUUUGGUUUUUAUGUGCUUUUAUUAGUCUUGCUUCUGCGAGGGAGAGCUUUUGAAGUGUUGUUUUUGCUGUGCUCAUAAAAGAAAUAUUGUUUUCACAAGUUAUAUGAAAAUUAUCCUAUUUAUCCAUAGAUCCUUAUUCUAUAUUCCUCUUCAUUCCAUUAUAAUUUAAGACAAUUUUAGACCAUUUCUAGUAUAUUCAAAUUGGAACAUAGUCAUCUGUUUGUGGGUACAAAAUGUGCGCUGGAAAGACAUUGCAUUUGAUGUGCCGGUUUCUCUUCAGCGGCAUCACUUACCAAAACAUUUGAAAAAUUCGUAUGCACUUUAUCCUAUUUUUUUCCCCUCUUGUUCAUGGAUGAGUUACAUGCACAUGUACUACCUAUUCCUCUUGUUUUAGGGGAAUGUACCAACGAAUGCCACAUAGAAUUAGAAGUGGUUCUUAAUGCCGGAAAAGGGGAUAGCAAUUUUUAGCUAAAGCUUUCUAUCUAAGAUAAAAGAGUUUUCAGUAGCUCGCCAUCCAUAAUACUCUUACCAACUUAUGAUGCCUGCUUGCUGCAUUUUGCUGGAGAGGCCUGUGUUUGGCACAUGUCCGGGAGGCUGAUUUAAGACUUCCAAAUCAGCUAGUCUUUUUUGAUGAAGAGGGAGGCAAAGCCACCCGGGCCAAAUCAGCUAGUUAGAUCGAGAAACACAACUAUGAUCUUGUUUAAUGUUCUAUACAAAUGAAGCAGAUGGUUGGAGUCAGGGUUGGGAUGAUGAGUAGGAUAAGAAAGUGAUGGUGGCUGGAGCUGUAAAGAAAUGCCCCACCAUGCACUGCACCCAGUGGCAUCAGUUCUUGGUCUCCUGGACAAGUCGGACAUCAACUGGGGCUGCUAGGCUUUGCAGUGAGAUCCAACCUUCUUUUCCUUUUCAGAGAGGCAAGAAAAGAGGAAAAGCAUAAAGGUUACAUUCACAUGACAUUGUCAAGAAAAGGAGCCAUGUCAGAGUCUUUGGAGAAAGAAAGCAGGAAUAGCUCAGUUAAUUUUGUGGAAUAGAUGCCUAUGCCACUUUUCUGUUUUUGUAAGAAUAUUUGCAAAAAAUCCUAUGAGACCUUUUAGUCACCUAUGAUGGAAAUGUGAAUUCAGUAGUUUUAUUGUUCA